CGGCGGGUUCCGAAGUGGUUCCUUUAAGACCCGCCCACGCUGGGCGAAUGUAUCCCGCCUUUCUAGGAAAAAACACCAGUCAAGCAACGCUGGCGGUAGCUACGGAAAGACAUCAGGCGUGGUCUUGAAUUCUUGGGAUGACAGUUGAGGAGACAUGAGGGAGAUCUAGUUGUGGCUACGUCUCCAGCCGCGGCCACUGGCAAGUGCAUAUGCAGGGUUUGAGGCUCUGUUGUUGCUAUUAUGAUGACCUUAGGGGAAUUUAUGCUCUCAUGGACCUUAAAUCCAAGGGAAGGAGUGGAUCCAUGCAGAGGUACAGCAAUGAGACCUGAAGUCUAUCCCUGCUUCCCGGCAUCUCUCUAACUGUACAGCUCUUCCUUCUCAUUGGCUCAAAAGAGCUGAUUUGAGCCAGAUCCUUAGACACUCUGAAGGGAAAGGAACCAAAAGAGGUGGGGAAGUUUCACUCUACUGUACUUCCAGUCGCUUUCCAUUUUGUUCCGGAAAUAGAAGAGAGCCGUGUUCAGGAGGUUUUUUCUGAAUGCUUAUUAAAUAAACCAAAGGCACUCUGAACAUUCUGAAAAAGUAUAGGCACUUUACAAUUGUAUUUAAGGUAAAUUGCCGACUUCGUGAAUGUCUGCUUUUACACGGAAUGAACUGUUCCAAAGGCUGCUCCAACAAAUAAAACCUUUAACUGAAUCAAUUGAAAAUUUCUAUUUUGUUACUGCUUA